GCUUGGUCGGCGUUUGAAAUGGUUACCGGUUAGCUGUAGGGAGACAAUCAGGGCUAGGGGCCUCAACCCGCCAAAUCAAACCCUGCACACAAACAUUGAAAAUAUGAGGGGACACUAUUUCACUUACUAACUUCCGACUAAACCCGAGAGGAAAAACAUUUUUCACAGGGAUCUUGUUGUUACGGUCCUACACUUGCCCUCCCAACCAUGGUCCAAGGCGUCCUCUUACCCAUUUUCUUCUUGGACCCCAAACACCACACACAUUAGCACACGCACUUACUUCAUCGCUUCACCCCCGCAAGUAUAACAAUUACCAACACAUAUUCUUUUCUGUUAAACACUUAAGACAUAAUAAAAUUUAUUGAGUUUUUUAUGGGGAUAAAAAAAAUUAAAGGUUAUGUUGUUUCUUAUAUUAUUAUUACACUUUUACAACGGCAAACAAAACACGAAGAACAAUACCGUACAAAUUAAAGAAUGAUCGAAAGAAGUUUUGGCUCCUUAAUCUAGGGGAGACCACUCAAUUCACCUCUAUCCCUUGUCCUAAGACGCUUUAAUUGGCGCGAAUAUGCUACUUUUCCUAUCUACUAAAAGAGCUCUCUUAACAGAUCUCUGCCAUUCAUUUAUAGCAGACCAAAACACAAUUUAGAACAAAGUUUGGGGCUCAUUGAUUCCCUUAAGCCUUUUUUUCUGAUUGGAACAGGUAUUAUUCUCUUCACAAUAUAGUUUUUUUUUCUUUUAUUCUACGUUACUUCCUAUAUCUAAAUGCCUAACCUAUAUUAUUCAUUUAUAAGCUUUCUUUCAUAAAAUUUCCUGUUAUUUAAUUACUUAAUCUAUGUUUUUCUCUUUUCACUAGCCUUCUGGACGGUUGCCAGACAACUAGUUGGACACAGUUGAGGACAAACGGACACACACAAACUGGACUGUCUUCGUAUGGUAGGCGUCUUACACAGCUCCUGGCCAGAUAUCACAAAAGGAAUCACCGUCGGCACAGGCUUCCAUACAAUUUCGGCUUCAACGUGCACUACAAGGUAGAUGUCUCAACCAUUAACACCGUUCCCAGUCCGAUGGCCUGAUGGUUUAUUGAUUUUCCGCAAUAAAAUAUCGCACUGGCCCCCUUUAUAGCUAGGAUGGCCAGUGCUAUUCUCCAAAUCACAGGAAUCACUUUCUAUACAGCAAAAGAAAUGACAAAAUCUCAAAUCUACUACACAUUUUUAGAAACUACAGUUCACUCACAUUCAAAUCUUGUCACACAAUACACAAAAAAAUUAAAAUUAA